rnacentral:rRNA from 1 species
UACGAAGGGUGCAAGCGUUAAUCGGAAUUACUGGGCGUAAAGGGUGCGUAGGCGGUUCGUUAAGUCUGUCGUGAAAUCCCGGGGCUCAACCUCGGGUUUGCAGUCGAUACGGGCGGACUGGAGUUCGGCAGGGGAGACUGGAAUUCCUGGUGUAGCGGUGAAAUGCGCAGAUAUCAGGAGGAACACCGGUGGCGAAGGCGGAUCUCUGGGCCAUUACUGACGCUGAGGAGCGAAAGCGUGGGGAGCGAACAGG